rnacentral:lncRNA from 1 species
UUGUCCUGAGAUUAAACAGCAACUGUAUGUGUUCGACCUUAGUAUUUACUUGGCUAUUUUGGGCAAGGCACAGCUAGUGGAGAGGAAUAUUCGCAUUUUUUUUCCAACAGUAGGGAACCUUAGGCCCUCGGUUUCACACUACAGACUAGCACCCACUGCACCUGUUCAGUAGAACAAGAGACCUAGGCCAGUGACUCAGUCUCCUCCUUAGAUUCCGACAACAGGACGCAGUAGGACUUGUCAGCAUUGCGAUAAGGAUCAUGGGGACCGACCCUACUAUCGCCUCAAUAAUACU